GUGCUUGCUUUGGCAGCACAUAUACUAAAAUUGGAAUGAUACAGAGAGUAUUAGCAUGGCCCUGUGCAAGGAUGACAUGCAAAUUCAUGAAGCAUCCACAUUUUUA